GGCAAGUGCUACACCAACAUGACUACCCGUGGCAACAAGCCCAAGUGCCCCUGAAAAUCUGGAAUAUAUAUAUCCCUUCAUAGUGUAUGCUAGCCUUGCUAAAUUAAGUAUGUUGGAAUCAAGUUUCGAAGCAGGGGAAAAUGAAAAAAAAAAAUUAAAAAAAAAAGUGUUUAUCUCUGAUCUGGCAUUAGAAGGAGGAACAUUAAUAGAGCAGUCAGUGUUGUCUAUUGUCCUGACUCCUGAGGCAAAAUGAGUGCUUAUCUUCGCUGUUCCCUGGAUUUUGAAAUGUCGAUUGCAGAUAUUUAUAUGUGUGUUGUUUCAGUAAUACAAGUUUUUUUUUAAUACCGAA
rnacentral:misc_RNA from 1 species